rnacentral:lncRNA from 1 species
AGAUAAGUCUCUGUGACUCCGUGGAGGUGGGAGCUACACUGACACUCCAUUUGGCUGGAAGUUUUCUCCAGUUAUACACAGAAUGAAUUAUAUACAGAAAACAGGAUGUUGUGGAAUGCAAGGGAUAAAAGAAGAAUGAAUGCAUAUGGGAAAGGCCUCCCACCUUUCCUUUUGGGUGUAUGGCUCCUUGCCUUCUCUUCCUGCAUGACUUCUUCAACCAGGCAGGACACAGCAGUUUGCAUCUUUCUUCAAGUGCCCAAGUCUCAGUCAGCCCAGGGCUCCUCUCUGGCUGAGGAUCUGGUGGCAAGCACUGAUCUGUUAAGUCAUGUUCACAAGCUCAACCAGUCUGUGAUUUCACAAGGUAGCUCAGAAGCAUCUUCUGAAGACUUGGGAAACUCCAUUAUGGCUAUACAAGUGAAACAGCGUGGAAAAAAAAUCGGAACUCUGCUCAUAACAUAG